GAACUGAACAGUUUCACCAGUCGGCCGUCAAGGUCUGUGCUGGUCUGUUCGUUCUCACCUAUGGGAUACUCACCUCUACUCUUAACUGGGCGGAGGCAAAACCAAAAAAAAAGCAGGCGCAGGGCAAAAACUGUGCGGUCUCGCGCCGUACAGCCUACGUCUGUGGAGUUCCCAUUCGUUUACUUUGAAUAAAUUAGGGUGUUCAAAGCAGCCAAAAAAGGAGGCAUGAAUACUACAGCAUGGGAUAACGGAAUACGAUUUCGGUUCGAUGUUUCGUUGGUUUCUAGGAUCGAAGUA
rnacentral:rRNA from 1 species